CUACGGGGCGCACCAGUGAGGAAUUUUGCGCAAUGGGGGGAACCCUGACGCAGCAACGCCGUGUGAGUGAAGAAGGCCUUUGGGUCGUAAAGCUCUGUCAACUGGGAAGAAGUUACUGUGCUUUAAUAGAGUGCAGUAUUGACGGUACCAGUGGAGGAAGCGUCGGCUAACUCCGUGCCAGCAGCCGCGGUAACACGGGGGACGCAAGCGUUAUUCGGUAUUAUUGGGCGGAAAGGGCGCGUAGGCGGUCUUGUCGGUCAGGUGUGAAAGCCCGGGGCUCAACCCCGGACGUGCACUUGAAACAGCAAGACUUGAGUACGGGAGAGGAAAGCGGAAUUCCUGGUGUAGAGGUGAAAUUCGUAGAUAUCAGGAGGAACACCGAUGGCGAAGGCAGCUUUCUGGACCGAAACUGACGCUGAUGCGCGAAGGCGUGGGUAGCGAACGGGAUUAGAUACCCUAGUAGUC
rnacentral:rRNA from 1 species